rnacentral:lncRNA from 1 species
GAUGCUUCUGGCUUUAGAGAUGGCAGCAUGAUGGCUUCUGCUUUACUUUAAUGUGAAAUGAUCCAGUGGAAAUAUUUGUGGAGAAGCACAAGGUGGGGCUCAUGUAUAAUCCACUACAAAUCAAGCCUCAGAGACCAUAUCGAAGCGUGAGCUUUUGUGAUUCACAGGAAAUGUUUUGGGAGAAGCAAGAUUCUGCAAAUAUACCACCUGGGCCUACUGGGCUUGUUUUCACUUCCAUUGCACUUCCACUUGUGCCCCACACAGGUGUGGAUGUACAAAGCUUCCUUGUGGCAGAUUGGGAGGUCAGGCUUGAAGAAAAAACCCUGUUUUUGGAAACUUGCUCAGGCUUGCUUGAGACCAGGGUGGUUUAGAAGCCCAGGGAGAAAUGUUGAAAUCAGUCAUUGCAAAAUCACUUUUGCAAUAAGUAAUGAAUAAAAACUGAAGGAAAAUCUCUUCCCCCACCCCGCAAAGUAAAAAUCUACCUUGGGACUUGUCUAAACAGCUCUUCAAAAUAGAACUUUAAAGACAACAUUAACCAAAGUGCUUCCCAGAGCCAAGGCCUGGACCUUUGGCCAUUUUUUUUUUUCAUUUUUUAAAGUUUUAUUGCCGUAUAGUUGAUUUACAAUGUUGUGAUAAAUUUUGCUGUACAGCAAAGUGAUUCAGUUAUACCUAUAUACACAUCCAUUCUCAUUCAGCUUGUUUUCCCACAAACAUUAUCAUAGAAUAUUGAGUAGAGUUCCCUGUGCUAUACAGCAGGUCCCUGUCAGCCAAUCAUCCCAUAUACUUCAGUGUGCAUAUGCCAAUCCCAAAUCUCCAGUCCAUCGCUCCAGUCUGUCUCCUUUGGUAACCAUUGGCCAUUAUUGACUUAUUCAUUCAGUAAAUAUCUGCAAGGACAUGACAGAUGGUACGCAGAGCCCAGGGUAGCGCUGAGAAGAGAAGGAUGGUGACUCUUUUCGUAUGGCUCGGAGACACCAACUUAGAUGUCAACUCCUCAGAGUCACUGUCUUACACUUUAUCUCACCUGGCUCCACCUAAGUUAUUCUUUACCUACACUUUGACCCUUCCAUCGCAUCCCUUGGUACACCUAAAUUCUGCUAUUUUUAAAAAUGGUGCCCUGUCUCCACCUACUAUAAUAUCACUGUGAAGGUCCAUCUGAAUUAUUCAGUGUUGUUUGCCCAGCAUGUAGAAUGGUGCCCAUGUAAGAUACGAUCUAAAAAUGUCUUUACUAAGGAAAUGAAGGAGGAAGGUACAAACCAUCCAACAACCUUCCUGUUCAGAUGCAAUGUUAUAUAUAAAGAGAGAACCGCAGGGAGUAAGUGAAAUAUCCUUAAGGAAAAUCAAUUUUUAUGGAACUUAAACUUUAAAAAGCUCACUUCUGAAGAAGACUUCUGAGAAGACUUUCCCCCAGCUCUUAAUGUACCUCCACUGGUUUGUGGAUUCAGGUCAGUGUGAAAAUUUCAAAAUAUUGUGGAAGCAAUAACAAACUCUUAUUUCAAAGUGACAUUCUGGCCAUAAUAUAUUCUGAUCAAUAGGAAAUGAUAGAGUCAAAAAUUAUGUAAAAUGCAUAUGGAAAUCGAAAGCGUGGAGUUUCCUCAUGGGUCAGCAAGUUAAGGAUCUGGCAUUGUCCCUACUGUGACAAGGGUUUGAUCACUGGCCUGGGAAGUUCUGCAUGUCAUGGGCACAGCCAAGAAAAAGAAAAAUGAAACUGUAUCAAAGGAGACAUUUGAAAUGAGUAACAAAAAAUUGUCAGAUUAUUUAACAAAAAGUUCUGGGAAAACUGCUUUGUCUUUCUGAAAGUUGGAUCUCUUUCUUUCUCUUUAUCCCAGAAUAAAUUGCAC